rnacentral:lncRNA from 1 species
ACCUAUUCCGAACAAUACUGAGAUAUGAGAGUUUUGAAAAGGAACUAAUUUUUUCGGGGAUAGAAUUAGCAUAUAAAUGUAUUUAUGGGGAAAUAUUGAAAAACACCAAUACAUGCUAGAGUGAUAACGAAACGAGCAGAGUUGUCUUUGGAUGGAAUAGAAACAACAUCCAAAUGGCCCAUAAAUAACCUGAGGACGCACUGAUGGAUUUAAGUAUUAGGCAUAGCCUUUACAAACUCCCCACCAGCGCAGAAACAUGUGUAGCGUUGAUUAAAAAUAUCUUCUUUCCUCACAGACUAA